ACAUGCAAGUCGAACGAUGAAGCCCAGCUUGCUGGGUGGAUUAGUGGCGAACGGGUGAGUAACACGUGAGUAACCUGCCCUUAACUCUGGGAUAAGCCUGGGAAACUGGGUCUAAUACCGGAUAGGAGCGCCUACCGCAUGGUGGGUGUUGGAAAGAUUUAUCGGUUUUGGAUGGACUCGCGGCCUAUCAGCUUGUUGGUGAGGUAAUGGCUCACCAAGGCGACGACGGGUAGCCGGCCUGAGAGGGUGACCGGCCACACUGGGACUGAGACACGGCCCAGACUCCUACGGGAGGCAGCAGUGGGGAAUAUUGCACAAUGGGCGAAAGCCUGAUGCAGCGACGCCGCGUGAGGGAUGACGGCCUUCGGGUUGUAAACCUCUUUCAGUAGGGAAGAAGCGAAAGUGACGGUACCUGCAGAAGAAGCACCGGCUAACUACGUGCCAGCAGCCGCGGUAAUACGUAGGGUGCGAGCGUUAUCCGGAAUUAUUGGGCGUAAAGAGCUCGUAGGCGGUUUGUCGCGUCUGUCGUGAAAGUCCGGGGCUUAACCCCGGAUCUGCGGUGGGUACGGGCAGACUAGAGUGCAGUAGGGGAGACUGGAAUUCCUGGUGUAGCGGUGGAAUGCGCAGAUAUCAGGAGGAACACCGAUGGCGAAGGCAGGUCUCUGGGCUGUAACUGACGCUGAGGAGCGAAAGCAUGGGGAGCGAACAGGAUUAGAUACCCUGGUAGUCCAUGCCGUAAACGUUGGGCACUAGGUGUGGGGACCAUUCCACGGUUUCCGCGCCGCAGCUAACGCAUUAAGUGCCCCGCCUGGGGAGUACGGCCGCAAGGCUAAAACUCAAAGGAAUUGAC
rnacentral:rRNA from 1 species